CAGGCACCCCCCACAGCCCUGAGCGAGCUGCCAGGCUAACUUUGAUUGGAUGGUGAUGUAGAGUUCAUCGUGGAGAGGACCAAGACAGAAGAUCAAGAAGAAUUUUUUUUUUAAUCUCUUCCCUUGUCCACCGAAAGACCAUCAAAACUAGAGAGAGAUUAUCAAAUGCCUGGUGACAAGUCCUCGGCUGCACUGGCUUCACAGGAGCUUAUGUGGAGAAGAA
rnacentral:lncRNA from 1 species